rnacentral:rRNA from 1 species
AGCCUUAAGGUUUAUUUAAGGUGAAGCCUGCCCAGUGCAUAUUUAAGUUAACGGCCGCAGUACCCUGACUGUGCUAAGGUAGCAUAAUAAGUUGGCUUUUAAAUGGAGUCGGGAAUGAAUGGAUAAAUGGGGCUAAGCUGUCUUUAGUACAAUUUAUUGAACUUUUUUACUGAGUGAAAAUACUCAGAUUUAGAAGAAAGACGAGAAGACCCUAGGAGUUUUCAUUAAAAAGGUUAAACCUGUAAGUUUUUGUUGGGGCGACAAGAGAGCAAGAAAACUUCUCUUUUUUAUUUGCCGACUCAGGUAAGAAAAAUUAAACUACCCUAGGGAUAACAGCGUAAUUCUUUAGAGCUUGCGACCUCGAUGUUGGACUAGGAAUUUGCAAGGCUAGCCGCCUUGUUAUAUUGUUCUGUUCGAACUUAAUCUCC